UGGCUCCGGUUAUGGCAGGGCCCUCGGUCGAUCUUCCCUACCUUUAGGCCAGCAUUGAAUGAAUUUGUCGAGUCGACCUCAUCUGAUGAGCUCCUCGAUCUCAUCUCAGAGCUGAAUGUGCUCCUCCGUGUCAUGACCGUGGUCACGAUGAUAGAGGUAGAACUUGUUAGGGUUGUGCUUCUCGGGGUGUGUGCACAUCCUAUUCGGCCUUGGCAGCUGCUCCCUAACCUCCAUCAGCACUUGAGCUUUUGGAGCAUUGAGGGGGGUGUAGCUGUGGAAUCUUCCUAGGGGAGAGCUCCACCGAACCCUGCAGUCCGGGAUCCUCUGCCUACAAACUCGGAG
rnacentral:lncRNA from 1 species